UACAAGGAGCAGCAGGGGCGCAUCCA
rnacentral:piRNA from 1 species